AACUCAGGAGAGUCUCUUAUUUUAAGAGCGCCGAAGGUGUACGCAGCGUGGGCUGUAAAUCUCUCAGGCAAAAGGAUGGAGGAGUA
rnacentral:ncRNA from 1 species